UAAGCAAAGAAGCAAAAGCAA
ensembl:piRNA 21ur-4815 ncRNA